GCCUACGGGGGGCAGCAGUAGGGAAUCUUCCACAAUGGGCGAAAGCCUGGUGGAGCAACGCCGCGUGGGUGAAGAAGGUCUUCGGAUCAUAAAACCCUGUUGUUAGAGAAGAAAGUGCGUGAGAGUAACUGUUCACGUUUCGACGGUAUCUAACCAGAAAGCCACGGCUAACUACGUGCCAGCAGCCGCGGUAAUACGUAGGUGGCAAGCGUUAUCCGGAUUUAUUGGGCGUAAAGGGAACGCAGGCGGUCUUUUAAGUCUGAUGUGAAAGCCUUCGGCUUAACCGGAGUAGUGCAUUGGAAACU
rnacentral:rRNA from 1 species